UGGAAGAAUAAUGUAAAGCGUUCAUCAUUUAAAAAAAAAACAUAGUUAGAGCUAUCUCCUAUAAAAACCCUUUGCUUGGAAGCAAAGUCCUCUCUUUUGCUGUAAAACCUGGAACGUAGUAGUAGUGCGCGCGUGUGUAGCAUCGUAAUUCGAGUGGUUAGUCCGUGUUAGUUACUAUUACAGCACGAUAAUUCGUCGCUAUUAAAAAUUAAUCGAAAUAAUGUGUUAGUAGGACGAAUGCAAAUUACAGUUAGUAAACGUGUAUAAAGCCAGUUGCACGAUUACC